rfam:Triticum aestivum genome assembly, contig: Triticum_aestivum_CS42_TGACv1_scaffold_644409_T_7AS-0.153383_1AL-0.152490
AAUAUACUCCCUCCGUCCCAAAAUUCUUGUCUUAGAUUUGUCUAAAUACGGAUGUAUCUAGUUACGUUUUAGUGUUAGAUACAUCCGUAUCUAGACAAAUUUAAGACAAGAAUUUUGGGGCGAAGGGAGUAGAAA